UACGUAGGGGGCAAGCGUUGUCCGGAAUCAUUGGGCGUAAAGCGCGUGUAGGCGGCCCGGUAAGUCCGCUGUGAAAGUCGGGGGCUCAACCCUCGGAUGCCGGUGGAUACUGUCGGGCUAGAGUGCGGGAGAGGCGAGUGGAAUUCCUGGUGUAGCGGUGAAAUGCGCAGAUAUCAGGAGGAACACCAAUGGCGAAGGCAGCACUCUGGGACGUGACUGACGCUGAGACGCGAAAGCGUGGGGAGCAAACAGG
rnacentral:rRNA from 1 species